UUCAUAUGAGAGUUUGAUCCUGGCUCAGGAUGAAUGCCGGCGGUGUGCCUAAUACAUGCAAGUCGUACGCACUGGCCCAACUGAUUGAUGGUGCUUGCACCUGAUUGACGAUGGAUCACCAGUGAGUGGCGGACGGGUGAGUAACACGUAGGUAACCUGCCCCGGAGCGGGGGAUAACAUUUGGAAACAGAUGCUAAUACCGCAUAACAA
rnacentral:rRNA from 1 species